rnacentral:rRNA from 1 species
CAGUCGCCGCGGGAAUACGUAGGUGGCAAGCGUUGUCCGGAAUUAUUGGGCGUAAAGGGCUCACAGGCGGUUUCUUAAGUCUGAUGUGAAAGCCCCCGGCUCAACCGGGGAGGGUCAUUGGAAACUGGGAAACUUGAGUGCAGAAGAGGAGAGUGGAAUUCCACGUGUAACGGUGAAAUGCGUAGAGAUGUGGAGGAACACCAGUGGCGAAGGCGGCUCUCUGGUCUGUAACUGACGCUGAGGCUCGAAAGCGUGGGGAGCAAACAGGAUUAGAUACCCGAGUAGUCCCUGUCUCUUAUAC